rnacentral:rRNA from 1 species
CGAGAAGGCAGCUACACAGCGAUGUGAUGCUAAUCCCAAAAGCCUCUCUCAGUUCGGAUUGGAGUCUGCAACCCGACUCCAUGAAGCUGGAUUCGCUAGUAAUCGCGCAUCAGCCACGGCGCGGUGAAUACGUUCCCGGGCCUUGUACACACCGCCCGUCAAGCCAUGAAAGCCGGGGGUACCUGAAGUCCGUAACCGUAAGGAGCGGCCUAGGGUAAAACUGGUAAUUGGGGCUAAGUCGUAACAAGGUAGC